rnacentral:rRNA from 1 species
AAUAGAUACCCAGGUAGUCCACGCCGUAAACGAUGAGUGCUAAGUGUUAGAGGGUUUCCGCCCUUUAGUGCUGCAGCUAACGCAUUAAGCACUCCGCCUGGGGAGUACGGCCGCAAGGCUGAAACUCAAAGGAAUUGACGGGGGCCCGCACAAGCGGUGGAGCAUGUGGUUUAAUUCGAAGCAACGCGAAGAACCUUACCAGGUCUUGACAUCCUCUGACAAUCCUAGAGAUAGGGCUUUCCCCUUCGGGGGACAGAGUGACAGGUGGUGCAUGGUUGUCGUCAGCUCGUGUCGUGAGAUGUUGGGUUAAGUCCCGCAACGAGCGCAACCCUUGAUCUUAGUUGCCAGCAUUCAGUUGGGCACUCUAAGGUGACUGCCGGUGACAAACCGGAGGAAGGUGGGGAUGACGUCAAAUCAUCAUGCCCCUUAUGACCUGGGCUACACACGUGCUACAAUGGAUGGUACAAAGGGCUGCAAACCUGCGAAGGUAAGCGAAUCCCAUAAAGCCAUUCUCAGUUCGGAUUGCG